CACCAACCCAGACUCACACCCCAACAUCUUCACCUCUUCUCCAGACACCACCACUGAUCAUAGUCCCUUUUCUGAGAGUGCAGAUCUUUCAGGGAAUUCAACCCGCAACUCUGGGCUGAUACAGCCCACCACCACCUCCCCCUCCGUCUCUGGAAGCACUGGCAGGGAAGCUUCUAUAUUUCCUGGGGAAGAAUGGAACAAUGGACCGGAUACAUCUGGAGCGACACGGCGCACUGAUAGUCCUGAAUCAAAUGAAGUGACAACUAACAGCGAAACAUCUAUAAGCACUGGAUUCUACAC
ensembl:lncRNA